UUGUUUUGCCCUUCUAUUUUCAAAUAUCCCCACAUUACCCUUUGCAAAUGUGAAAAGGAAGAAUGAAGAUGUAAGGUUACGCCAUUUUUCCCCUAAACGGAGCACGAAGAAGAAGAGGAAGACAAAGUGAGAGAGAAUGGCGAAGCAUUUUGGGACAAUCGGAGUUCUUCAGGAGGAGAAGCGAAUGGAGGAAGCAUCCAAGGCUCAACAAUCAGCUCUGCCAUGCCCUUCUCGGUCUUAGCCUCAGAGUCGACGAGCAGGUCUACAACAAACUCCUCCUUCCUCUUCUUCUUCUGCUUCUUCUUCUUCUCACCACUCUUCCCAUUCCUCUGCUUCUCACUAAAUCACUGAGACAACUAAAACAAUAACCUCAUUAGGAUGAUGGAUCUGUUAUAUGUAUAUUUUCUCUUUCUGGAAGUAAUGCCCAAGAUGGACAUUUAGCUGCUGGUCGUAAUGGUGUAAAGCGCCUCAGAACUAUAAGUUCUCAUCUGUUUCUCUUUGAUGUGGUCAAACAACCAAAUAUUUUAUCGUUCCUUUAUGGUAUGGAGACUAAAAAUUUUCGUGGUAAUACGACAAAGGUUGCUAUCUAUAUUGUCAUGGAGCCUGUUGUUCCACUAUUAGAAAAGAUCAAGGAACUAACUUUGGAAGGUAC